GCAUGUAUUUCAUUCCAAAACAAAAGUAUGUCUUCAGAUACAGGAAAUAAAGCAACAUAGAUGCAAGGCAGGAAGUUAAGCAUGAAAGCAUCAUAAUCAUUUUGUGAAGCAAUCUUUGCACCAAAGAAGUUCCCAUCACAGGGCUGUUAACACCAAAAAUUAAUGGUGACAUGUCAGAAAAGUUUAAGAAGUAGCCUGCCACUCCACCCUUGUCUUCCAUCCAUCCAUCCAUUUUCUACCGCUUAUUCCCGUUCCCGAGGUCGCAGGGGCUGGAGCCUAUCCCAGCAUCUUAAGGCGAAGGCAGGGGACACCCUGGACAAGUCGCCAGUUCAUCGCAGGGCUGACAUACAGAGACAAACAACCAUUCACACUCACACCUACGGGCAAUUUGAAAGUGGCCAGUUAACCUAACCCCACUUAGGCAUGUUAUUAAAAUGUGGGAGGAAACCAGAGUAACAUGCAAACUCCACAUAGAAACACCCUGAGCCAGAUUCGAACUAAAGACCUUCUUGCUGUGAGGUGACAGUGCGAACCACUACACCACUGUGCCUCCCACCCUUGUCUUGUCUUGUCUUAACUAAAUUUCACUAUCAUUGUGUUUUUCCAAAUGAUCCAUCAUGAUUGUGAUAAUAUCAUUAUUGGGAUUUUUGGGCCACAUUUAUUGUUAGGUGAAAAUAUACCAUGACAGCACCACUUAAAGUUUUAACUUUUUAAGUCUCCACUGGUGUCACCAAUAAGCUGUGAUGUGCAGAUACUGGCAGCUAUCUCGACAGCUGAGCAACUCAGGUCUAUGGCCCAAACUGUCAUCUUUCACCGUUGGUUAACAUUAUUCUUCUCAAUAGAUGUUUCAUUUACGUGAGCAUAAAAUUCCCUUAUAACAGGUCCACUUUUCUGUACGAUCUCUGUGUGUCUCUUUCCUGUGUGAAUCUGACGAAGCCCAUCAAGCAUACAGGGAGUUUGGGGAGUGUCUGCAGAAGAGAGGAGGAGGAGGAAGGAGCAAGCCGGGCGGAGGGGAGGAGGAGAGGGAUUUAGCGUGGCCUGUCGGAGGGCUAAUUCCUGUGCUGGCGUUGGAGCUCCUCAUAGCUCAGAUAUUCAGAUUUGGGCUGGGCUGCAAUGUGGGCUUGGAGAUACUCUGCAACCGGCUCCACCCCCCGCUCUAUUUAGGGCCUGCAAGGAGCCUCGGGAUGGCGUUAAAAAAGGAGAUUAAGUUUCCUCCGGAGAGCAAAGCUCCUUAAGGGGGUAUCUGUGUGCUUCUCAGCCGCCUGGUCAGUGAGGGAUGCGUGAGGGGGGCCUCGCCAUGAACUCCGCUGAGACAGUGGGGGGUGGGGGACACAUAAGAGGCGGGGGUGAGGGUGGCAGAGAAGCUGACCUGACUCCUACCCCAUGACUGGCAUGGCUCUGACCCUUUUUAUAGGCUCAAGCACUGAUAGCAAACUGAUUCAGUGCUUCGGGGGCUGGCAGAAAGCAAACACGGUGAUGGAUGGUAUCACCUGAGAGGAUUUCACUUUUGUUUGUCCGUUACACUUCCACAUAAUGUCAUUUCAGAGUAUGUCCCCGGGGUUUACUAAGCAUGACCGUGCAUAUGUGCUUUGGAGUGUGUGGUGGAGAUACAGUGUGCCUGUAUACAAGGAAAGCCUCAUUCACAGAGCUUAAUACUGGGCACCAGAUCUAAUGGAUGGCUGCUUAACACAUGGAAGUGGAAGGAAGUGAUGCUCAACCACACGUCUUUUUCUCUGUGAUUUUCUAAAUAUACUGUAACAACAUACAAACACAGACCAUGAGAAAUAAAUAUCAACACACGAACUGGAGAAACAGACAUUUUGUUGGAUCUGACUCCUGAAAAAGCAGUCCAAAAAGUGCCAUUCAAGGCGCCAAAGCAUCUAUUAAACUUUCGAUUUCAGAUCAUCACCUGACCAUUCAAAAGGCGGACUUAUAAGAGCAAAUCCCAGCCCAUGAAGUGUAUGAGUUAAAAUCUACCCUUCAAAAGGCUUUGAUACGUUUCUUUGAUUCAAGAAGAGCUGCAGCGUUAAGAGCAGAGCAGAGAAAAAAAAAACCCUUACACAUUCCUUUAUUUGAUUAGCAAUACUGAUGACAGGGUUGAAUGAGAAGCAGAAAAAACCUAAUGACUUCUUCAGCUUUGUGGCAGGGCUGGAAAAGCCUUAUCUGCUCAAUUCAGCAGCAGUCUCUCCUGGGAAGCGAGGAUCACUGUGCUGAGGGACUGUCAGGUCCUGCCAAUAGCCGUAAUGGGCCCUAAUUCCACAUUAAUGCAGUCUAAAUGAAGUGUCACGGGAAGAUUGAUCUGUUGAGGGCGUUGCCGUGAUGAAGGUUGUUAUACUGAGUGGGCACCUCACCGGACACCUGGUUACUCUCUGCAACACCCCCAGGGGCCUCCAUGUGGAGCCGGCAGACUGACCUGUCACACUCUGCAUGCAUAGAUCUGAGCGCACAUUCAAACAGUCUUAAACAUGCUUAAAGACUCUGGCUGAGUCCAAAUGUGAGGCUAAUUUUCAGUGAUUUCUGUGAAUAAAUGCCAGCAGGUGGAGGGAUGGAGAGGCUCUGUCUCUAAUGUUUUGAAGAUUGCCUCAUAUUUGCUUGGCUCCUUUUGAUGAAGGUACAUUUCUUGUCGUGUUCUGUUGUCUGACAGGUGCAUAGGCCGGAUAAUGCUGCCAGCUGGAGACUUUGCGGGGGGCUUAAACACAACCAGUCCUCCUACUGUACAUAUCUAAAACCCCAUUUUACUCCUUUCCAUUAGUAAUUCUUGUCCACAGAAAUGGAUUUUUACUCACUGUCAAGUUUAAACUGCGACUUUUCCUGUAUGGAGAGUAUUAGGCUAAUCACGCGGUAAUUCUGAUUUCUGUAUGCUUGUCAAAAACAUACAGAAAGAUGGGCAGCCACUUUUCACACUUUUUAUUUUAUGCUCUGCGUCGAAGGAUCAAUCCAGGUCAAAUGUGCAGAUUUUGUUAUUGGUUCACAAUAACUGCUUUUCAUAUGUACUAAUGUGUGCAUAAUAUAGUCAAAGUCAACUCUAUUGUCAAAUAUGCUAUACAUGUUAAACACACCGCACAGAUGAAAUUUCAGUCCUCUCAGACCCACGGGGCAUAAGAAUAAACUAUAAGAAUAAACCUAUAAAAGUUUAAAUAUGAGAAUAAACAAUUGAGCUAAACAAAAGACUAUCUUAAAUACUUUAUAUAUUAAAUUGUAUGUGAUUAUUAAAUGUUUGUUUUCAAGCUGUUGUCAUUAAUUUCAUGAUUUUUACCCACAUGACUUUUCAUACACACAAAAUACUCAAACUGCGAGUACAAUAUGAAAUGUGCAAACUUCUGACCACCGUAUUUGCACAACAUGUUUACGUGCACACAAGUGUAUUCUUAUCACACAUGGCAAGAGACAACAUACUCAACCACUUCACCAAAAAAAAUUGCACCCUUUACUGGACUUCAGGGGCUCUGCACAAACUUCGAACUGAUUUAGUGAUUAAAAUUAUAACCCAAAAGGCUUCCUCCAAGUCCUGACUGAUGCUUAAAUCACAGUCAUGCAAUCGAACAUUCAUCCGUAAAGUAAAGCUCAUAGUGAAGGACACGCUCCAGAACAUCGUCCAUGAUAUUUCAUGUACUUAUGGUUGCAGAGGAGGGUUGCAAUCAGUGCGUUAGCUGUAAAGUAACUGUGUAUGUCUGCAAUCACACACGAGCAAACAUGAUGCACGCUCUCCGUGUGUACCUCCGACAUGAGGAGCAGCAGGAUUCUGGAUGAGCCUCCCAGGUGACCCAGAAGAUGGCAGCAAGUGUGUCAGAGUCACUUUGAUUAACUCUAAUACCAGGGCUUUUGGCACAUGUGGUCAGGUUAAUGAAACUCAGUGAGAAGGCACUUUCUCCUGGUUCCCUCCCUGCCUGGAAGCUGUGGGUGAUGGGAUGAGGUUCAGUGAGUCGCUCCCUCUCUCCCUCAUCGGCCCCCCUCUCCACCGACAAGACGGUCUGAUACCUUCUUUAGGAAAUGAAGCUACUGAGAUAUAUUACUCUAUUACCUCUAUGUCCUUUUUCCUUUCAUAUUCUGUUGACUUUUUCCCUGUUAAUUAACACUCUUCUUAGGAUGUAAAAAGUCAAGUUUUAUGAGUCGAUGGAAAAGUACAAAAAUAAAGCUUCAAUGAUAUUCUUUCAAAAGGAAACAUCAAAUCUUUGGGGGGGUUUGCCAUCAAAGUGAUCUAUUGGUUUUCAAUUUUAUCUUAAGAAAUUAUGUGAAAGGACUUUUUUUUAUCAUUUGGGUGUAUUUCUGAAUGGGUCAGAUACCAGAAACAUCCAGGAGAAAAAAUCCACCCAUUGAAAAGCUUUCCCUGAACACAAAACUUUCUGUUAUGGUUUAUCAAAUGUUUGCCAAGGUUAUCAUGACACAGGCUCUUCAAACCCUCAAAGUGUUCCUCCUUGCUCUCUUUCUUCGCUGACACAGAAGUAGGGCACACCGGAGAAUAAGCACCACAAUUGGGAGGCACCCUGUCGCUUUAAGAGGGGUACCCAUCUAAUCUCUCCCGAUCCACUCAGGCCCUGGAUUUAUAAAUUUCCUGCAAUCUCGAUUCUUAAAGCUGUCUUGAUUUUGUGAGUGUGUGUGUCUGCUUGUGAGAGAGGAAGUGUAGGACUGGCAAGAGGUACUAUUGGGGGGGUUUGGUUUGUUUGUGCUGUCCUUUAGAAAAAGAGCUUACGGGUUCAGCAGUAGAAACGCUGGGAGCUAAUGUGAAGAUUUAGGACUUUCUCCGAGGCUUGGCCUCGUCUAAGCUCUGUUUGCUUGAGCCGUUUGUGGGGUCCUGCUCACACUAAACCCAGAUUAAUAUUCCCCCCAUAUCCAACCAGCCCAGACACCGUCUCCCGGCCUCACUGUCCUCCACCCCCCUCUCUCUUUUCCCUGCCUUUUCUGGCCGUGAUCGUCUCCCUUCCCUAAUCCAAGUCCGCUGCCUCUCAUCUUGCUCUUUAUCUCGUCUAAGUAAGCACCUUUCUCAUGGCUUCUUUCCAUAAGGAGGAAGCAGCAGGAGGAGCAUAAAUAUGUUUUCCUCAGGACCCCCUCAUUGCUCACUGACCUCUGUAAGGUGUUAUUAUCAGAGUGACUGCUAAACCCUCAGAUUGGUUUUAGCCAGGUUCACCAGGGGAGAGGACGGCUGGCUUUGAUGCCUCUGUAUUGGUUUACAUACAACUAAAUAGACACAGAAAGUACGGCAAUUAUUGUAUUAGGCAAAUAUUUCAGCCAUUAAAAUCCUAAAAUACUCUCUUCAUCUUAAUAUAUUUAAACAUAUUAUUAUUUCCUGUUGAUAUGUAGUGAAAGCAGCAGAAUUAAAGUCACUACAAAGACACAUUUUUCAAUAUAUUGUCCUAUAACACCAGUGAGAAAACUUCAGCUUCCUGCCACAUUUCUCUGCUGCUGCACUCCUAAACUCUCACGAGGUUGUCACACUGUGCCUCUUCUUCUUCUUCCCCCUUUUUUUUUGUGUUUUUCCUCCUUUUCUUGUUCCUUUUCUUCCUUUUGGAUCAAGGCUGAGAGAAGAAUAACAAAUGCAUUUUGAGCCAAGAGAAAAGGGGAUGAAUUUGGCGUGCUAAACAGGCAGGCUAAACCCAUUACCUAAGUGUUCUUUAUCUUCCCAUAUGCUUUUGUUGUUUAAUCAGCUUUGUAUCUCUCCAAAUCCGGGAUUGAGAUAACAAACAAAUGGAUGAGCUCAACAUGCAGAGGAGGAAAGCCUUUUUGCUGGCACCUUUAAUGCCAAAAAGACUAUCCUGAUGCUGCAAAGUGGUCAGGGGAAGGAGCGCAAAUGGGUCCGAUUCUUUGGGAUUUUUUAGACCAGGUCAAGCCUCCACUUUUCCCUAAAAUAACCUCAUAUACCUCCUCUCUGUUGUACGGGAAUGGACUGAGAGAGGGGGGAAGGGGGUAAAGCUGGAG